UCGUCAAGCCGCCGCCGCUCGUCGAUCGUCCCCUCUUCUCGCUGAUUAUCCCUUCCAACUUACUCUCUCAGUUUCGUAUGGAUCUCUGGGUAUAUGAGGUCGAGAUUGACGCUAAGGAUUGUGCAAAUGUCCAUUCCUUCAUCAUAAUGUUUAAACAGUCGAGAUUGAACUUAAUAUUGACUGUAAUGUUUUCCUUGCAUCAGUAUCGAUGAGCUCAACUAUUCUACAUCAGUGUCUAGAGGUAAUGUUGGGAGUAUCUAUUCAUUCAACAUAAGCUAAUUUUAUAGAAGGAACCAGAAAAAGGAAACAUUUAAUGCCGCUCUCCGGAUGGUGAUGAUCCAAUAAACAUGAUAGACAAGCGUGAAUGCAAUGCUUUUGAGGUCCGAUCAAGUAAAAGAGAACUAAGAAGUAAUGUGAAGGUUGGUUGUCCAAAUUACCGUUGACCAGCUCAAAGUGUCGGAUAUGGAGUUUAGAGCAUAGAUUUCAAACAAUGAUGGUUGAGAUGAUGUGUAAAAAGUAUUAAAGUAUGAUUAGAAAAUUCAAGUAUAAUAUCAAGAAAUGUGACUUUUUGUUUGUUCUCAGGACGUAUUUGUAUGUUUUGAAUUAGUUAUGGAAAAACCAUGAUGGUUUACUUGUUAAUUGUUGGAGACAUUGUUUUA